GGAUGUGAGGGUGAAAUGGCUGCAAUAUGUUACCCCUUUGAUCGCCAGGGUUGAUUCAGAUGAUCUGGAUGGCUAGAUGGGUGUCCCCAUCCUCCCUCACCACUCCAUGUAUGUCCCUCCCAAAGCUGCACACUCGGUCAAAGAGGACGACCACUCUGAUAGAGGAGGACCAUUUUGUUGGUCAAGGGUAUAUGAGUAGCUGUGCUUCCCUGCUAGAACCUCCAAACAAGUUCUCAAGUUUGGAGAGCAAAACUAGGAAGGUAAGUGGGCUAUUAGUACAGCCAGUAUUUUGGCCAUGGUCCCUCAGGGUCU
ensembl:misc_RNA 7SK 7SK RNA